rnacentral:rRNA from 1 species
AGAGUUUGAUCAUGGCUCAGGACGAACGCUAGCGGCGUGCCUAAUGUAUGCAAGUCGAGCGGGGAGAGGGGCAACCCUCUUCUAGCGGCGAACGGUUGAGUAACACGUAGACAACCUGCCUUUCGGUGGGGGAUAACAGCGGGAAACUGCUGCUAAUACCGCAUACGGCGGGAAGGGGCCUCCCUUCCUGGCCAAAGGGAAGCGUAAGCUUUUCGCCGGGAGAUGGGUCUGCGGCCUAUCAGCUUGUUGGUGGGGUAACGGCCUACCAAGGCGACGACGGGUAGCUGGUCUGAGAGGAUGAUCAGCCAGACGGGGACUGAGACACGGCCCCGACUCCUUCGGGAGGCAGCAAUGAGGGAUAUUGCGCAAUGGGGGAAACCCUGACGCAGCGACGCCGCGUGGGUGAGGAAGUCCUUCGGGAUGUAAAGCCCUUUUCUCGGGGACGAGACCCGACGGUACCCGAGGAAUAAGCACCGGCUAACUACGUGCCAGCAGCGGCGGUAAUUC